GCUUUGGUUAGGGUAGCCUUUAUGAGCUCAAUCUGUCAGUUUUCGUGCUAGUGGUGAAAGUAACUAAUGACUUUAAAACGAUUACAAGGACUACUUAACAAAAUUCAACACGUUAUGAAAGGGCUGGGUGUUCGGGGUUGUGUAGAGAGGAGCAUUACUUAGGGUAUGCAUGGGUAGGCCUUAUGAGGUCAAUUAAUAAAAAGUCUUGCUAGUGGUGGAAGUAACUAAUGACUUUAAA